UAACCGUGGUAAUUCUAGAGCUAAUACAUGCUGUUAAGCCUGACUUUUUGGAAGGGCUGUAUUUAUUAGAUAACAAACCAAUAUUCCCUGUGUCUAUUGUGAUGACUCAUAAUAACUGAUCGGAUCGCAUGGCCCCUGGCCGCGAUACAUCAUUCAAGUUUCUGCCCCAUCAGCUUUCGAUGGUAGUGUAUUGGACUACCAUGGCUUUAACGGGUAACGGAGGAUUAGGGUUCGAUUCCGGAGAGGGAGCCUGAGAAACGGCUACCACUUCUAUGGAAGGCAGCAGGCGCGUAAAUUACCCAAUCAUAAUUCAUGGAGGUAGUGACAAGAAAUAACGGACUGGGCUUCGGUCCAGGAUUGCAAUGAGUAGAAUUUAGACCCCUUUGCGAGGAUCAAUUGGAGGGCAAGUCUGGUGCCAGCAGCCGCGGUAAUUCCAGCUCCAAUAGCGUAUAUUAAAGUUGUUGCAGUUAAAAAGCUCGUAGUUGAACUUCUGAGAGGUCUUCGACGUCCGCCUGUUGGCGAGUUCGGAAGAGACCUCUCAUCCUUCUGUUAACGUUUCCUGGUAUUGAUUUACUGGUUUCGGGCUCAGAUAUUUUACCUUGAGAAAAUUAGAGUGUUUCAGGCAGGCAUGGUUCUGAAUACAUUAGCAUGGAAUAAUAGAAUAGGACUAUAGUCUCUUUUGUUGGUUCGAGGGACUAAAGUAAUGAUUAAUAGGGACAGUUGGGGGCAUUAGUAUUUAAUUGUCAGAGGUGAAAUUCUCGGAUUUGUUAAAGACUAACUUAUGCGAAAGCAUUUGCCAAGGAUGUUCUCAUUAAUCAAGAACGAAAGUUAGGGGAUCAAAGACGAUCAGACACCGUCGUAGUCUUAACCAUAAACUAUGCCGACUCGGGAUCGGAGGCGCGCUACAUCCGCCUUCGGCACCGUAUGAGAAAUCAAAGUCUUUGGGUCUGGAGGGAGUAUGGUCGCAAGGCUGAACUUAAAAAGGGACGAAUUCCAGCACA
rnacentral:rRNA from 1 species